AAGAUAGUAGAGAAGAUCAGUUUUCGAAGUUGUCAAGUGGUGUGGACUCUACUACGAUUGGUAUGAAGCUGUGGUUUGCUCCGCAGAUCUCUGAGCAUUGUCCGUAGAAUACUCCUGGUCGGUUUGCUAGGAAGGAAGUUUGGUUUAGUCGUCCUGGGAUUGCAUCCGUUUUGACGCCUAGGCUUGGUACAGCUCAUGAGUGCAGGACGUCGUCAGCGGUGACAAUAACUCGGAUGGUAGAGUUUAUUGGGACGAUAACACGGUGGUCUACUUCUAGAAGUCGAAAGUGUCCUAGUGGGAGCUCUGAUGUUGGUGUUAUGUAGGAGUCGAAUGUUAGGUCUUUGAAGUCGGUGUACUCGUAGGAUCAGUACCAUUGGUGUCCAAUGGCUUUUAGAGUGAGGUCUGGUUGGUUGACUUCAUCCAUCAUGUAUAGGAUGCGCAGGGAUGGCAGGGCUAGGGUGAUUAGUACUAUGGCUGGUAGGAUUGUUCAUACUAGUUCGAUCGCCUGUGCAUCAACUGUAUUUGAUGAGAGUUUACCUGUUAGUAUUAGAGUCAGUAGAUAGAGGACCAAGCUGCAGAUGGCUAGGGCCACUAUUAUGGCGUGGUCGUGGAAUUGUAUCAGUUCUUCUAUAAUUGGUAAUGAGGCUAGUUGGCCAAUGAUGAUGAAUGGGUGUUCAACUGGCUGGCUGCCUACUCAGGUUAGUACUAGAAGGUUUGCUACUAGUGUUCAAAACAGAAUUUGUGACAGUGGGCGGAAUGUUAUUGAACGUAGUUUGGAUGUGUGCAGGAGGGGCAUGAGAAAUAGUACUAGGACGGAGGCGGCUAGGGCCAGGACUCCUCCUAGUUUGUUUGGGAUGGAUCGUAGGAUGGCGUAGGCGAAUAGGAAGUAUCAUUCGGGUUUGAUGUGAGGGGGG